UAGCGUAUAUUUAAGUUGUUGCAGUUAAAAAGNCUCGUAGUUGGAUUUUGGUUAAGAGGGCGCGGUCGGCCGUUUGGUCUGUACUGCGUUGUCUUGACUUCCUGAUGAGGACAUGCUCUUGGUUAACGCUGAGACAUGGAGUCAUCGUGGUUACUUUGAAAAAAUUAGAGUGUUCAAAGCGGGCUUACGCUUGAAUAUAUUAGCAUGGAAUAACACUAUAGGACUCCUGUCCUAUCUCGUUGGUCUCGGGAUGGGAGUAAUGAUUAAGAGGAACAGUUGGGGGCAUUCGUAUUUCAUUGUCAGAGGUGAAAUUCUUGGAUUUAUGAAAGACGAACUUCUGCGAAAGCAUUUGCCAAGGAUGUUUUCAUUAAUCAAGAACGAAAGUUGGGGGCUCGAAGAUGAUUAGAUACCAUCCUAGUCUCAACCAUAAACGAUGCCGACUAGGGAUUGGUGGAUAUUAAUUGAUGACUUCACCAGCACCUUAUGAGAAAUCAAA
rnacentral:rRNA from 1 species